rnacentral:rRNA from 1 species
GAUGAACGCUAGCGACAGGCUUAACACAUGCAAGUCGAGCGGAGAGGAGAAAGCUUGCUUUCGAAUCUUAGCGGCGGACGGGUGAGUAACGCGUGAGCAACCUGCCUUUCACUGGGGGAUAACGCAUCGAAAGAUGUGCUAAUACCGCGUAAGACCACAGCAUCGCAUGGUGCAGGGGUCAAAGGAGCAAUCCGGUGGAAGAUGGGCUCGCGUCCGAUUAGCUAGUUGGUGAGAUAACAGCCCACCAAGGCGACGAUCGGUAGCCGACCUGAGAGGGUGAUCGGCCACAUUGGAACUGAGAGACGGUCCAG